rnacentral:rRNA from 1 species
AUACGUGGGUGACAAGCGUUAUCCGGAUUUACUGGGCGUAAAGGGCGUGUAGGCGGUCUUGCAAGUCAGAAGUGAAAUUCCUGAGCUCAACUCGGGCGCUGCUUCUGAAACUGCAGGACUUGAGUGCUGGAGGGGAUAGCGGAAUUCCUCGUGGAGCGGUAAAAUGCGCAGAUAUUAGGAAGAACACCGGUGGCGAAGGCGGAAAUCUGGACAGUAACUGGCGCUGAUGCGCGAAAGAGUGGGGAGCAAACAGAAUUAGAAGCCCUGGGAGUCCACGGCGUAAACGAUGAAUACUAGGUGUAGUGGGUAUCGACACCCUCUGUGCCGCAGUUAACACAAUAAGUAUUCCGCCUGGGGAGUACGGCCGCAAGGUUGAAACUCAAAGGAAUUGACGGGG